AUUGAACGCUGGCGGCACGCCUAACACAUGCAAGUCGAGCGGUAACAGGGGUGGUAGCAAUACCACCUGCUGACGAGCGGCGGACGGGUGAGUAACACGUAGGAACCUGCCCUGGGGAGGGGGAUAACCAAGGGAACCUUGGCUAAUACCGCGUAACCUCGAGAGAGCAAAGCUGCCCGCAAGGGUGGCGCCCCUGGAGGGGCCUGCGUCCGAUUAGCUUGUUGGUGAGGUAAUGGCUCACCAAGGCGAUGAUCGGUAACUGGUCUGAGAGGACGACCAGUCACACUGGGACUGAGACACGGCCCAGACUCCUACGGGAGGCAGCAGUGGGGAAUAUUGGACAAUGGGGGCAACCCUGAUCCAGCGAUGCCGCGUGAGUGAAGAAGGCCCUCGGGUCGUAAAGCUCUUUGGGCCGGGAAGAAGUGCAUGACAACAUGCAUUGACGGUACCGGCAGAACAAGCACCGGCAAACUCUGUGCCAGCAGCCGCGGUAAUAC
rnacentral:rRNA from 1 species